rnacentral:rRNA from 1 species
GCGGUAACUACCCUUCGGGGUAGCUAGAGCGGCGAACGGGUGAGUAACACGUAGAUUAUCUGCCUUGAGGUUGGGGAUAGCCGGUGGAAACACAGGGUAAUACCGAAUAAGCCCUAUGGGGGAAAGGUGCUAAGGCACCGCCUUAAGAUGAGUCUGCGGCUCAUUAGUUAGUUGGUGGGGUAACGGCCUACCAAGGCGACGAUGAGUAGCCGGCCUGAGAGGGUGGACGGCCACACUGGGACUGAGACACGGCCCAGACUCCUACGGGAGGCAGCAGCUAAGAAUCUUCCGCAAUGGGCGCAAGCCUGACGGAGCGACGCCGCGUGAACGAUGAAGGCCGUGAGGUUGUAAAGUUCUUUUCUUACUGAAGAAUAAUUACCCGAGGGAAUGCGGGUAAGAUGACGUUAGGUAAGGAAUAAGCCCCGGCUAAUUACGUGCCAGCAGCCGCGGUAACACGUAAGGGGCAAGCGUUGAUCGGAAUAAUUGGGCGUAAAGGGCGUGUAGGCGGUAUUACAAGUCUGGUGUGAAAUACCGCAGCUUAACUGCGGGGACGCGCUG